GAACCCGUGGCACAGUGGUAGCGCGUGAGAUUCCAGUUGAUGGCGCGUAGCCGUCAACAAGGUAGUUCCUCAAGGUCAUCCGUUCAAUCCGGGUCGGGUUCA